UGGCAAUUGGAAUGAGAACGAUGUAAACACCCUAUCGAGGACCAAUUGGAGGGCAAGUCUGGUGCCAGCAGCCGCGGUAAUUCCAGCUCCAAUAGCGUAUAUUAAAGUUGUUGCAGUUAAAAAGCUCGUAGUUGAAUUUCUGGCAAGAGCAACCGGUCCUUCACGUGGUGUUGGUACUUGUGUUGUCUCUGGCCAUCCUUGGGGAGAGCCUGUGUGGCAUUAAGUUGUCGGGCGGGGGAUUCCCAUCGUUUACUGUGAAGAAAUUAGAGUGUUCAAAGCAGGCUUAUGCCGCUGAAUACAUUAGCAUGGAAUAAUAAGAUAGGACCUUGGUACUAUUUUGUUGGUUUGCGCAUCAAGGUAAUGAUUAAUAGGGACAGUUGGGGGUAUUCGUAUUCAAUUGUCAGAGGUGAAAUUCUUGGAUUUCUGGAAGACGAACUACUGCGAAAGCAUUUACCAAGGAUGUUUUCAUUAAUCAAGAACGAAAGUUGGGGGAUCGAAGAUGAUUAGAUACCGUCGUAGUCUAUACCAUAAACUAUGCCAACUAGAGAUU
rnacentral:rRNA from 1 species